UUGAAAUAAACCUGACGGGUUGCUGCUGGCUCUCUAGGGAGCAUGUGCACGCCUUGUCAUCUUUAUAUCUCCACCUGUGCACCUUUUGUAGACCUCUCUCAGGUCUAUGUUGCUUCACUAUACCCCAAUGUAUGUUAAUAGAAUGUUGUGCCUAUAAUAAUAUAUA
rnacentral:misc_RNA from 1 species